rnacentral:rRNA from 1 species
GGGAUAACACUGACGCUCAUGUACGAAAGCGUGGGUAGCAAACAGGAUUAGAUACCCUGGUAGUCCACGCCCUAAACGAUGUCAACUGGUUGUUGGGGGAGUGAAAUCCCUUAGUAACGAAGCUAACGCGUGAAGUUGACCGCCUGGGGAGUACGGUCGCAAGAUUAAAACUCAAAGGAAUUGACGGGGACCCGCACAAGCGGUGGAUGAUGUGGAUUAAUUCGAUGCAACGCGAAAAACCUUACCUACCCUUGACAUGUCCGGAAUCCUGCAGAGAUGCGGGAGUGCUCGAAAGAGAACCGGAACACAGGUGCUGCAUGGCUGUCGUCAGCUCGUGUCGUGAGAUGUUGGGUUAAGUCCCGCAACGAGCGCAACCCUUAUCAUUAGUUGCUACGCAAGGGCACUCUAAUGAGACUGCCGGUGACAAACCGGAGGAAGGUGGGGAUGACGUCAAGUCCUCAUGGCCCUUAUGGGUAGGGCUUCUCACGUCAUACAAUGGUCGGUACAGAGGGUUGCCAAGCCGCGAGGUGGAGCCAAUCCCAGAAAGCCGAUCGUAGUCCGGAUUGUUUUCUGCAACUCGAGAGCAUGAAGUCGGAAUCGCUAGUAAUCGCGGAUCAGCAUGUCGCGGUGAAUACGUUCCCGGGUCUUGUACACACCGCCCGUCACACCAUGGGAGUGGAAUCUGCCAGAAGUAGGUAGCCUAACCGCAAGGAGGGCGCUUACCACGGUGGGUUUCAUGACUGGGGUGAAGUCGUAACAAGGUAACCGUA